GUCUGGGAUGGCUAAAUUGGUAGAGCAAGUGAUGCUCCAGCUCAGGGCAGUGGGUUCGAGCCCCACGUUGGGCA